rnacentral:tRNA from 30 species
UCCUCGGUAGCUUAGUGGUAGAGCAAACGGCUGUUAACCGUUCGGUCGCUGGUUCGAGUCCGGCCCGGGGAGCCA